AACAGGAUUAGAUACCCUGGUAGUCCACGCCCUAAACGAUGCGAACUGGAUGUUGGGCUCAAUUGAGAGCUCAGUAUCGAAGCUAACGCGUUAAGUUCGCCGCCUGGGAAGUACGGUCGCAAGACUGAAACUCAAAGGAAUUGACGGGGGCCCGCACAAGCGGUGGAGUAUGUGGUUUAAUUCGAUGCAACGCGAAGAACCUUACCUGGCCUUGACAUGCACGGAAGUUUCCAGAGAUGCGGGAGUGCCUUCGGGAAUCGGAACACAGGUGCUGCAUGGCUGUCGUCAGCUCGUGUCGUGAGAUGUUGGGUUAAGUCCCGCAACGAGCGCAACCCUUGUCCUUAGUUGCCAGCACGUAAUGGUGGGAACUCUAAGGAGACCGCCGGCGACAAGCCGGAGGAAGGUGGGGAUGACGU
rnacentral:rRNA from 1 species